rnacentral:rRNA from 1 species
AUUGAACGCUGGCGGCAUGCUUUACACAUGCAAGUCGAACGGUAACAGGGAGCUUGCUCCGCUGACGAGUGGCGAACGGGUGAGUAAUGCGUCGGAACGUGCCGAGUAGUGGGGGAUAACGCAUCGAAAGGUGUGCUAAUACCGCAUACGUACUGAGGUAGAAAGUGGGGGACCUUCUGGCCUCACGCUAUUCGAGCGGCCGACGUCUGAUUAGCUAGUUGGUGAGGUAAAGGCUCACCAAGGCGACGAUCAGUAGCGGGUCUGAGAGGAUGAUCCGCCACACUGGGACUGAGACACGGCCCUGACUCCUACGGGAGGCAGCAGUGGGGAAUUUUGGACAAUGGGCGCAAGCCUGAUCCAGCCAUGCCGCGUGUCUGAAGAAGGCCUUCGGGUUGUAAAGGACUUUUGUCCGGGAGCAAAUACCCAGUGCUAAUAACGCUGGGGGCUGAGAGUACCGGAAGAAUAAGCACCGGCUAACUACGUGCCAGCCGCCGCAGUAACAC